UACGUAGGUGGCAAGCGUUGUCCGGAUUUCCUGGGCGUAAAGAGCGCGCAGGCGGUCGUUCAAGUCGCGUGUGAAAGCCCCCGGCUCAACUGGGGAGGGUCACGCGAUACUGAUCGACUCGAAGGCAGGAGAGGGAAGUGGAAUUCCCGGUGUAGUGGUGAAAUGCGUAGAUAUCGGGAGGAACACCAGUGGCGAAGGCGACUUCCUGGCCUGUUCUUGACGCUGAGGCGCGAAAGCUAGGGGAGCAAACGGG
rnacentral:rRNA from 1 species